rnacentral:rRNA from 1 species
UGGGGAAUCUUGGACAAUGGGGGCAACCCUGAUCCAGCGACGCCGCGUGGGUGAAGAAGGCCUUAGGGUUGUAAACCCCUUUCACCGGGGAGGAUGAUGACGUUACCCGGAGAAGAAGCACCGGCUAACUCCGUGCCAGCAGCCGCGGUAAGACGGAGGGUGCUAGCGUUGUUCGGAAUCACUGGGCGUAAAGGGCGCGUAGGCGGCUUGGCCAGUCAGAUGUGAAAGCCCGGGGCUCAACUCCGGAACUGCAUUUGAUACUGCCAAGCUGGAGGUCGGGAGAGGAAAGUGGAAUACCCAGUGUAGAGGUGAAAUUCGUAGAUAUUGGGUGGAACACCAGUGGCGAAAGCGGCUUUCUGGCGCGAACCUGACGCUGAGGCGCGAAAGCGUGGGGAGCAAACAGGAUUAGAUACCCCUGUAGUCC